rnacentral:rRNA from 1 species
CUGGCGGCGUGCCUAACACAUGCAAGUCGAACGGGGAUUUGUUUCGGCAGAAUCCUAGUGGCGAACGGGUGAGUAACGCGUAGGCAACCUGCCCUCCGGCCGGGGACAACACUCCGAAAGGGGUGCUAAUACCGGAUACGAAGUCUGUGCCGCAUGGUACGGAUUUGAAAGAUGGCCUCUAUUUAUAAGCUAUCGCCGGGGGAUGGGCCUGCGUCCGAUUAGCUGGUUGGUGGGGUAACGGCCUACCAAGGCGACGAUCGGUAGCCGGUCUGAGAGGAUGAACGGCCACAUUGGGACUGAGACGCGGCCCAGACUCCUACGGGAGGCAGCAGUGGGGAAUCUUCCGCAAUGGGCGCAAGCCUGACGGAGCAACGCCGCGUGAGUGAGGAAGUUCUUCGGAACGUAAAGCUCUGUUGUUCCUGACGAACCUCCCCUCUAUCAACAACGGAGGGGACUGACGGUAGGGAACGAGGAAGCCACGGCUAACUACGUGCCAGCAGCAGC